rnacentral:tRNA from 3 species
GCCGGUUUAGCUCAGUGGUAGAGCAGUUCAUUUGUAAUGAUCAGGUCGUCGGUUCAAAUCCGACAACCGGCUCCA